rnacentral:lncRNA from 1 species
GAUGUAUCUAAGCUAAGUUUGUGAAAAUAUCCAGUCACUGGUCAAACAAUUUGACCGUAAAUCCAACCGAAAGAGAUUGCGUGGCAAAAGAUGAGUGGAUGAAGCAUAUUACAGUUUGACUGGGAACCAUGAUCUUGAAGAUACCGACAUAGCUCUGUCAGACCUUUUCGCUUGGCUUCAUCCAUAUCCUUGAUGUCCCAUGAUGUUUACAUCUUUUGGUUUUAUUUAUCACCCCUCAUCAAACAACCAUUUCUGCACAUGCCGCUCCACGUGCAACCAUACUGGAACAUUCUACUGGUCCUAGUCACGAGUCACGAGCCACACUGAGAUGAGAUAUUCGAACUUAGAUUUCUUUCUGAUAAGAGAAAAAAAAAGUACUAUUAUGAUGUGUUUGUUGUAUCGAAUUAUUUCGAACUGAACUAGUUUCAGGGAUUAAGUUGGACUGGUUUAGACUAGAUUAAGUUGAACUAGCUUAGUGAAGCGUUUGGUGUAGUGUCGGACUAAGAAGCAGGAUAAUGAAAACAGUAUUGUCAUCAGUUUGGUGUUUGCUCAAACUAGAACUACAUUAUUGUUCUAUUUUUUUUUAUUAAAGAUAUUAUUAAAAUUAAUAAUAUUGGAUGAGAGUGAGACUCAAUAAAAAUACAAGCUCAAAAUUCAAAUUAACAUAGAAAUUGGAAUUGAAGAUUCCUUUUUAUUUUAUUUUAUUGUGUCUGGAAUUCAGAAAUUCAUAAGAUGCAUGUGAUACUAAAUGCAAUCAAAUACAUCAAGGCUGGCAAGUUCAACCAAUUGUUUAAUCCAAAAUCUCUAACACAAAAUACUUAAUUAAUUGAGCACACACCAUGAACAACAACUUAAAACACAUGAAUUAUUUCCACUUGAAAGAUUCUUGCAUUAUAUAAAAAACCCAAAAAUCAAAAGCUUCAAAUAAGAAAAGAUUUUACAUUCACUUCCUCAAGCUUUGAAUUGAUGAAAACACAGAAACCCACCAGACUACCACAACCAAAACCGAUAAUCGCAAAAUAAAAAAAAAAAGCAUAAAACUCUCAUUUUUCCUCUGCUACUUCAAGAAUCUGCAAACAAAAAGAACAAAACAAUUCAAUUUCUCCUUCUUCAAAGUUUACAACUUUGAAUUUGUUUCAAAUCAGAAAAAAGAAAAUGAGGAGGAGGUGGAAGAGAUAACCUUGCGUCGCUGCUUGCAGGAGGAAGAGAGGCUGGACUGGAGACAGCGAGAAGCUUGUCGUUGCCGUCGGUCAAUCCCUCUAAAACCCUUUCAUCACCCCUACAGAACUAUGAGAUCGUUUUGUUGAGGACGUUGUCGAUCUGCUACAGCAGCUGUUGAUGUAUAAAGGACGAGAUCGAUUCGUUUGAUAGCCAAAAAGAUGAGAUUGACGAAAGCCCGUAGAGGAUUGGAAGGGCGAAGCGAAGCAGUUUUAGCAAUCCGGCUGUUUUUUGGAGGGACUCGCUAAGAACCUCUAGUGAGGGCGUUAGGCGAGGCGAGUGCCUCCGAAUCCCACUAAAGUUAAUCAUUCCAUCAAACAAACACGGGACUACAUUCAUUGCUAGUCCAGUCUAGUCCAAUGAAGAUUAUUAAAGGCAAACAAACACACCCUUAGAUCAUAAGCUGGUGGUCCGUUGGUAAAGGACAAAUUACGAGGUUUUCUUAAAACUAAAAAUUAGAGGUCUCAGGUUCAAAAGCGUUGUUGGUGUGGAAGUCAGAUUUGUGG